UUGAAAUAGUCAGGAGAGUAUUAGGCGAAUUGAUUAUGGGCUUUAUGUUAGCCCAGUUAUGUUCAUGACAUUAUGUUAGCCCAGCAACCUUCAUGGGCUGUUAUCAAAAGUCAGCAAAUAAAGUAGACGAUUUAUCUAGAAGGUGUGAGACAAAUAUUAUAGAAAAAUAAUUCGUUUCUGACUUUCUUGGUCAGGCAAAAUUAUAAAAAAAAAAUUAAAAAUACUAAAAAAAUAUGGAAAAGCCGUGAUGUAAAUCGCCUGGAAAAAUCAGUUUUUUUCCCCCAAUAAAGUAAAGGGAACCACCCUAAAGUAAACGUGAUUAAGGAGGUCUGACAAUGAAAUCCAACAACCCAUAUUAGCUGUCCAUUUUCCUUUAAUUAACUUUUUUUUUAUCUUUAUCUUAUGUGUAAAACAACCGCCUCUCAUUAAAAACGCCCCUAAACACGUAACACACAUAGACCGUUGAUCAUAUAUCUAAAAAUAUGAUCUCGUUCGUCCAUUAUUCCUAACACUGUGUAUAAAACUAACGCAUUGAUCUCUUCAAGAUUACAUACCCGCGUUUCUUAUGAUUCAUUCAACUUCUUCGUCAUCGGUUUCGCCAGAUUCUCUAUGGUACGUCGAUGUCUCUCCGAUGCAGAUCGUCGCAAAUUCAGCUCUCGAUCUGCAGAUCGGGGCCGUAUCCGUAUGGAUCCGGUUUAAAUCGCGGCGAGAAGACGGAUCGUAGCGGCUGAGAUAUCCGUAGAUCGGGUUAUUAUGCAUAUGAUCUGAUCUCGGCCGCGAGGUUCGUCGGAUCUGUGAGUUUCGUGUGCGGUUUGAUGAGGUGAUGAUGAAUCCGAGGGGAAUGAUCGAAGAGGAAGAGGAUGGGAGAUCUGUGAAUUGAAAUGAGUUGAGUAUGAUGGGAUGUAUGAGAUGUUUGUUAGGGACGAUAGAGCCUAUGAGGCUUGAGUUUCUGAAUUAGCAUCUUUGUCAUCCGACCUUUGUCAUGACAGGUGCGCUUGCAUGGCAGGUCACCCACAAAAAUCCUUAAUAAUAAAAAAAAGUUUCGUGUUGGCUGAGGGGAGUUCGCACGGGGGACUUUUUAAUUGCCCGGGUUCUCCCCUCACCUUUUGUGUCUUGCUCUCGCUUUGACUAUCUCAAAUCACACAAAAUAUCUCAACCCUCCUGACAUACUUUGAAUUCGGAUCAUUACUAUCGGAUCCGGAGUCAAGCACGGGUCAACAGUACUCUACGGAGACCAAAAGGUACUUUCAAUUAUGCAUUCACAUUAUUAUAUAAUUACCUCAAGUUUUCAUUGCUCAUGGUUAAAUUAUCAGCACUACUCAUAAUCAAUCUCCAAAAGUACUAUAUCGGCCAAGUAUUGGUGUUAAUAGUUUGAACGACUUAUCAAUAUCGUCUACAACUAGGUCUUACAGUUUACUGUCUUCAGAUUUAUAUGUUAUUUAGCAUGGAUUUUGAGAAUUUGUAUCCACUUUUAACUAAGUAGUCAUUACGUUGUACUUUGUUGUAAGCAUAUUGUUCUCUAACAUUCCUAAAGUUGCAAAUGGCUUUGAAGACUUUUGAAGGAGAAGUUUGUUUUCGAUGAGGUUUCUUGAACAAGUGUCUGAUGUUUUGUAUGUUGUCCACGGCUCUUGUAUCUUUACUGAGAGUUGUAGUUACAAUAUUUGCCUCAAACUUUGCAUGUUACAAUCGGAUGUUCUGUAAUUAUUGAUUGCAGUUUCUAUUUAUACAUUGAACCUUUUUUUUUA